ACUGCCAUAUCACGUUGAAACAGCGAUUCCCGUACGUUCAUCGAAGUUAAACAGUGUUGCGCUUUGUUAGUAGUUAGAUGGGUGAUCGCUUGGGAAGA